rnacentral:rRNA from 1 species
CGAGCACGCGCGUGUGGCAUAUCAAUAAGCGGAGGAAAAGAAACUAACAAGGAUUCCCUUAGUAACGGCGAGUGAAGCGGGAAGAGCUCAAAUUUGAAAUCUUCAAGGUUUUACCUUGACGAAUUGUAGUUUAUAGAAGUGUUUUCUGUAGUGAGUUCGGUAAAAGUUCUUUGGAAUAGGACAUCAUAGAGGGUGAGAAUCCCGUAUUUGGUCAUUCCUCCUAGCGUUGUGAUACACUUUCAACGAGUCGGAUUGUUUGGGAAUGCAGUCCAAAAUGGGUGGUAAAUUUCAUCUAAAGCUAAAUAUUGGCGAGAGACCGAUAGCGAACAAGUACCGUGAGGGAAAGAUGAAAAGAACUUUGAAAAGAGAGUUAAACAGUACGUGAAAUUGUCAAAAGGGAAGCGUUUGACACCAGUGUUGUUUUUCCGAAAAUCAAUUACGAAUGUUUUAUUUUUGAGGAGUUAUGACUUCAUCGGCUUGCUCCUUUCUUUAUGAAACUUUCUUAAUGCACUUUUCGGUUAACAAGUCAACAUCAAUUUCUUUUGUUGUAAAAGGGUAUGAGGAAGGUGGCUUUCUUUUCGGAGAAAGUGUUUAUAGCCUUGUGCCUCUGCAAUCGGAGAGAUUGAGGUCUGCAGCGUAGAUCCUUCGGGGUUAGAUACGUUUGUGCUAAGUUAUAGCUUUUCAUAGACAACUUGUUGACUAUGUUUAGUCUUGUAGCUUACUCGCUUACGCUAUUUUACCUACGCUUAGGAUGUUGAUGUGAUACUGCGAGC